UUCCUUCAUCCACGAUGUUGUUGGCCAAAUACAUCUCCUGCAAGGCUAUGUGUCUCUGACCUCAACAACGCAUUUUGAUGGUUCGUUUUCUAAUCGAAACCUCAGUCGUCAGCCAGGAAAAUUUGAGCUAUGGCGAUA